rnacentral:rRNA from 1 species
UACGAAGGGGGCUAGCGUUGUUCGGAAUUACUGGGCGUAAAGCGCACGUAGGCGGACAUUUAAGUCAGGGGUGAAAUCCCGGGGCUCAACCCCGGAACUGCCUUUGAUACUGGGUGUCUAGAGUCCGGAAGAGGUGAGUGGAAUUCCGAGUGUAGAGGUGAAAUUCGUAGAUAUUCGGAGGAACACCAGUGGCGAAGGCGGCUCACUGGUCCGGUACUGACGCUGAGGUGCGAAAGCCAGGGGAGCAAACGGG